CGGCAAACACCGGACCCGGCGCCUCGCCAGCUGCCAGAGCUGUCAGGCCCCGUUCCGUCUGCUGACCGCCCGCCGACACGGCUGCCGCUCCUGCGCCGGUGUGUUCUGCAGGGGGUGCGCCUGCGUCGUGAUCCACCAGGCGAGGCGGAAAGUGAGAAUCUGCGUGGAAUGCUUCUACAAGCUCACUCAGCCGUCACAGUCUUCGGAAAAGGACCCACGCGGCGAAGAAGGUGUUUCCCGUUGCGCCGACAGAGCGCGGCUGUCCGGAGGCUGUCGGCCGCCGGCCGGGGGGACGGGUCGGUCCGGCGCACCCUCCAGCUCCAGGUCCGGCCGCCUGCGAGACGGACGCCUCGGGCGGGCCGCCUCCGAACCG